GACCGCGUAGCUCAGUUGGAAGAGCAUUGGGCUAGUAUUCCAAAGGUCGUAGGUCCGAAUCCCGCCGUGGCCA
rnacentral:tRNA from 1 species